AGUGAACGCUGGCGGCGUGCUUAACACAUGCAAGUCGAACGAGAACGGAUUAUAGCUUGCUAUAAUUGUCAGCUAAGUGGCGCACGGGUGAGUAAUGUAUAGGUAAUAUGCCUCUUACUAAGGGAUAACAAUUGGAAACGAUUGCUAAUACCUUAUACUCCUUAUUAACCUAAGUUAAUAAGGGAAAGAUUUAUUGGUAAGAGAUUAGCCUGUAUUGUAUCAGUUAGUUGGUGGGGUAAUGGCCUACCAAGACUAUGACACAUAACUGGUUUGAGAGGAUGAUCAGUCACACUGGAACUGAGACACGGUCCAGACUCCUACGGGAGGCAGCAGUGGGGAAUAUUGCACAAUGGACGAAAGUCUGAUGCAGCAACGCCGCGUGGAGGAUGACACAUUUCGGUGCGUAAACUCCUUUUAUAUGAGAAGAUAAUGACGGUAUUAUAUGAAUAAGCACCGGCUAACUCCGUGCCAGCAGCC
rnacentral:rRNA from 1 species